GCCCGUUUGGCGCAGUGGUAGUCGCGCAUCGCUAGUAACGGCCACGUGAUACGAUGAGGUCAUCAGUUCGAACUCGAUAAUGGGCA